UUAUAUUGGGCCAAGAUGUUCAGCCCAAGAUUUUUAUAUAAUAGGCCCAACCACAUUCAUUCACUACUAACAAAAUUGAGCCCAAACAAAGUGCAAGAAAGAGUAAGGAAAUGGGCCACUAAAGCCCAUUGAUUUAGAGAUCCAAAAGGCCCAAGUGAAAGGGGAAAAUUAGUCAUUGACCAACUUGAUCAGCUGCAAAUAUAAGGGGAAAGUCGGUCUAAAGUCUCCUUAAAAAGGGACCAAAACCGAGCUCCCUAGGUUAAUCAACAAAAGACCAAAAAUUUCAGGUUUUCUCUCUAAGUUUCUCUUGGUAUUUCUUCACCUUGGAAGGCAACCAAAGGCUAAUUUUUGAGUUCUUGAAUUAGACCUACACCUUGGGAGUUAAGGUAUGUAAAAAUAACCAUAUACUUGAUAUGAAUUUUCCAUGGAAAACAAGAUAAGUUGGCUGGUUCACUGUGCAGGAAUUUCUGGACAGCUUGUGUCCUGAAAGUUGUUGUUUGGUUUUCUUGGCUUUGGAACGAUUUUUACCCUGAUUUUUCACUUUAAUAUGAUGUAAAGUUGAGGUUAUUAACAUGUUAUAGUGUGUAUAUGGUUGCCAAGGUUGCUGGACUGUUUUGCUAGUUCUUUGGAAACAAGUAUCCUUAUAUGAUCUUAUGUGCUUCCAAACUGGUAUUGGACUGUUUUGUUGAGGGGGAUGUUGUUUCACGUUUCCCCUACGUUUUGAGCUAUUUUGUGACUAUGUUAAGGUUUAUUUGAUGUAUAUAUAUGUUGGGAGCAUCUGGUUCAAAGUUGGGACAAGUAUGAAUUGUUAACGACGAAAUGUAGGGAGACGACGAGAUGUUGUGCUUCUUAGUUGAGCGUUUUGUAAAAUGGUUAUGUGUUGUAGUUAUGGACUGUUGCCAGCAUGUUAUAGAACUAAUAUAGGCUGUAUACAUCAUGUAUAUGAUAAUCUAUGCUGGUUGAAUACAGUUAGAAUUGAGAAAGUCGGAAUAACACCAUUGAGUUGAUGGUUAUACGUUUGUUGCCAAAGUGUUGUGUCUUGUGAGAUUGGGCUGUCCAGAUGCAUUGAUUAGCUGCUAAUACUAGCUUUAAAACAUGAUAUUGUAGAUAAAUAGUUGGAAGAAAAGAAGUCAUUUCGACGUAAAAACAAGUUGAUAU
rnacentral:lncRNA from 1 species